rnacentral:lncRNA from 1 species
UAAAAAUCAAACUUCCAGGGACGCCUGGGUGGCUUGGUUGUGGCUGGCUCGGUCAGUGGAGCGGCGACUCUUGGUAUCGGGGUUGUGAGUUCGAGCCCUAUGUUGGGCGUAGAGAUCACUUAAAAAAAAAAUCCACUGAGUAAGUUCAAUUCAUGCUCGGGCAGGUAGAGUUGCGCUCUCAGGAGUUGUGCAAAAUGGAAGAUUUUUACAGGAAGGCAGGACAAGGAAAUUACUAGGAAGAGAAAGAAAGGCUCCUUCCAGGCAAGGUCACCUUCCCUGAGGGGAAGGGCAGAGGUCUCACUAGUGGGUCUCCCCACCUCCCUUUUGGGGGAAACAGAGUCCGUCACUGAUGCUCACCCAGAAAUUCCUCACUGGGGGUUUCUGGGCGAGGCUGGAAGCUGGUCAGGUUACAUGCGGAGCCCUGGUUUGCCGACGUGGCGGAGGGUCCCCUUUGCGGCCUGUGGCUUUCCUUCGGAUGCAUGUUCCGUCUGCCCCCCGUCAGCCAAGGCAGGUGGAAGCUGGCCUGGCCAUGCCGGGGGCGGGGCGGGGGCCUCCGGAGGGAGGCUUUGUGUGGGAGCGUCCUGGCUUUGAGACUUUGGCACAUCUUAUUGGUCUUCACGUUCGCCCAGCAAAUCCCCGCCCAGACUUUAGGGCUGGGGCUCCCCGGCUUUGUGUCCCAUGUUCCUGAUGGAGAAGCCCUGGAGGAGGGAGGACAGCCCUCCAGGCCGGGUGGGAGCGUGGGCUCCGGCCUCGGGGCUCCCGGCGUCGCCUGGCGCGGACUUACCUCCGAGACACCUCACUAGUGAGUCAGAAGCCACACCAGGCGCAGACAAGGCCCACUCAGAGGCGGGUCCCAAGGGCACCGGCACCGUGACCUGCCCGGGAGGGGUGUUCACCUGGGUGGACUUCUGCUCACGGCUCCUGGGAUCCCCUCUCUCCUGGUCUUCAGGCCUUGUUUUCCCUUUUUCCCUAGAGCUCCACGCUAAUCCUGUGCCUUUUAUGAGCCCCGCGAAGGUGACCCAUCCUCCAGGUGCAUUGACAUUUGGGGAAGAAGCCCAGGUUCUGGAGAACCCGCCCCCGCUGGCGUCCUGGGACCAGGCCAGCCCCAGCAGCCGGAGGCCUCCCCAUCUGCUUCCCUGUUGUUCUUCGCUGUCUUGGGCUCAGCAUCAGCACGGCCGUUUGAACGGGUCGUUGUGUCCCCAGCCCUAGUCCCG